GACGAACGCUGGCGGCGUGCUUAACACAUGCAAGUCGAACGGAAAGGCCCUGCUUUGUGGGGUGCUCGAGUGGCGAACGGGUGAGUAACACGUGAGUAACCUGCCCUUGACUUUGGGAUAACUUCAGGAAACUGGGGCUAAUACCGGAUAGGAGCUCCUGCUGCAUGGUGGGGGUUGGAAAGUUUCGGCGGUUGGGGAUGGACUCGCGGCUUAUCAGCUUGUUGGUGGGGUAGUGGCUUACCAAGGCUUUGACGGGUAGCCGGCCUGAGAGGGUGACCGGCCACAUUGGGACUGAGAUACGGCCCAGACUCCUACGGGAGGCAGCAGUGGGGAAUAUUGCACAAUGGGCGGAAGCCUGAUGCAGCAACGCCGCGUGCGGGAUGACGGCCUUCGGGUUGUAAACCGCUUUCGCCUGUGACGAAGCGCGAGUGACGGUAAUGGGUAAAGAAGCACCGGCUAACUACGUG
rnacentral:rRNA from 1 species